rnacentral:rRNA from 1 species
UGAGCAAUCUGCCCUUCUCUUCGGAAUAAGCGUUGGAAACGACGUCUAAUGCCGAAUACGACCUCCUUUCGCAUGAUCGGAGGUGGAAAGCUCCGGCGGAGAAGGAUGAGCUCGCGGCUUAUCAGCUAGUUGGUAUGGGUAACGGCCCACCAAGGCGACGACGGGUAGCCGGCCUGAGAGGGUGACCGGCCACACUGGGACUGAGACACGGCCCAGACUCCUACGGGAGCAGCAGG